AGGAAAGCAAAUCUGAGCCGUCUACUAGCUGACACAAACGGCGCUCUGGAUUCCCUAUCCAACUAAAGAUCUUCCGCCUCUACAUACAGAAAAACGUAAGCCGGUGAGAUGGUUCAGCUUCUUUCUACUUCACUCUAUAAAAGCCAUUAUCCUCAACCAUUUUUGCAGGACCAUUAACUCCAACUCAGAACUUUGGUCUUUAAGCGUCAUAAAGAAGAAUCCAAAAGGCUAGGUGUUUCUUAGAUUGGCGGCUUCCGAUUUGGAAAGGUAUAGAUCAAAACUUAAAACUCUCCUCAGAUUCUUAAGGAGAGAGUUUCCAUCGUCGGUACCGAUUUCUUCAAUCAAAGAAGAUGGCCAAAAAACUUAAGGAGAGAGUUUCCAGAUUUGAGGCAUUUUUUUUAGAAAAGGUUGAUUUAAG
rnacentral:lncRNA from 1 species